CUGUGGGCUCUGCAAUGUUACGUGCCAUCUUUAUGUAUCCGCUCUCUCCCCAGCUUCCUCCCCAUGAGUUUCUCACAAUCCAGUAAUCCUUUCCGUCCUCAGUUCCGUAACCCACAGCUACAACUCCAUGGUCUAACUCCGUUCCACAGGUUCCAUCAAAUACACCCUGAAGUGAAAAAAGGCAAAUAAAAAUCUUAGCAUCUUGAAAUAUAUUUGCAAGUGUUUACUACGAAUAUAGCGUAACCAUUCUUUAAAUAUGUGAGAACGUGAAUAAAUAAAUAAAUGUUCUGAAUGGUAAACCAUUAAUCAUUAACGUUCCAUUGAUUCUUCUCAUGCUAACUAGUUACAAGUUCGGCUAUUUCAUACCGAAGAAUAGAGCUGGAAGGCACGACCACCAGCUUCAAUGGCAACACUAAUAGGCUGAUUAGCCAAAGCUUUCUUAAGAGCCGCCUCGUUGUUCUCCGGCACAUCCUCAUAACCGUCAAUUUUGACAACCUUUGCGUUUUUCUGCAAAACACGAGAAACAGAGGUGUUAAACCCAUUUCUAUUUGAUAUUAAUACCAAAAAACCUAAACCAACACACACUAGUUAACUUAACCCUGUUCUGAUCACAACGGCCAUCCGCAGCUUUGUAUGGAUAAUCCUCUUCAGUAUCAAUACCACCAUUUUUAAUAAUGAACUCAAACGCAUAGUCCAUCAAACCUCCAUUACAGCCUUGGUUGUAAGAUGUGUCACAAUCUACUAGUUCUUGUUCAGACAAAGAGAUUAAGUCUCCUGUCACAAUCUUGUUUAUUCCUUCCACAGCUCCAAUGGUUGAAAAUGCCCAACAACUCCCUAAAAACACGAGUUAAUUAAAUCAAAUUAGCCCCACCACUUGCUUUGAUUCUUGAAAAAGUGAAAAAUAUCGUAUGGGUCCAAAGACCAAAAUAGUUUCAAAGACCCCACAAACUUUAUCAGCAAUUCAAUAAAAGAUCACGACUUUCAGACCAAACAUCAUCAAUCGUUCCCCUAGAAGAACAGUUGUCGGGGGUAAAUUUGUCUUUAUGCAAAAGUUACAAGAUCUUUAUUUUUCUUAAGAUAUUUUUCCAAUAAAUUAUCAAAGAUAUAAUCAUUUUCAGAUUUGUAUAUCUCUAAUCGAAAAUCGGAAAAAGCUUACCGCAGCUUCCCUGAUCUUUGACGGCGGCGACGGCACCUUCUUUUCUCCAGUCAACGGAAGCAGGAAGCGCGUCGCCAACACGCGGCUCAUAUCGAUCGCUGGUUUUGAGAACUCUCUUCUUCGGUUUAGCACCGAGGUAGAUAGAUCGGUACUCAUCGUUGGUUAGAUCAGCGAACCGGGUUAAACCGAGUUUGUAACUGAGGUUUUUGUUGUUGUGUUCGUCGAUGAAACGAAGAUUGUCUUUGAAGAUCUCGAAUCUCUGAUCCGUGACAAGACCGUUGUUCUGCGUCAUCAUCUUCUUCUUUCCGUGUUUCUCCAUCCACUCCUCGUAGAUUUUUGAAACCUCGGCGUCGCUCCGGCCGUUGACGGCGGAGAUGUGGCGCUUCUCGUCGUAUGAGAUGAUCGACAUGUCGACAGCGUACGAAACGCCGAUCAUCAUCGCUAGGAGAAGGAUGGUUACAUUUACGAAGCCCAUUUUUUGAUAUUUAACAGAGAAAGAAGAAGACGAUUGGAUGAUUGAUAAGAGAUUGAUGAGGGUGUAUAUAAAGGAGAAUUUCAGUCGAGCGUCAUAAUUAAAUAUUAUUUACUUUUGUCUCACUUUUCGAAAUAUACUUUAAAGACAAUUAAAGAAAACCGGCUAAAAUUAUAAACAAAAGAAAUUGAAUACUUCUCAAAAUUUUAAAAUAUUGCAUCUAGAACAAAAACUAGUGAACAGAGUUAUUGCUCUUUUUAAUAAUUCCGUUCUCGGAAUUAUAUAUUUUUUACAUAUAACAAAAUCUCACUUUUCAAAACUUGAAAUUUUACUGAAUCUUCUGAAGUAUGUAAAAAGGAGAACUGAAUUUUAAAAAUACACUACAUCUCGAUCCUUUUGUUUUUAUUUAUUUUUAUAUAAACAUUUUGUUUUCAAUUCUAAAUUGGUAUAUAUUAUAAUAUAUAUAUGUUUAUCAAUUUUUAAAACAUAAUAAGUUUACACUAUAUUUUUUUCAUUGAAUAGAUUGUUUUAAACUUUCACAUGUAUUUGUAUCUUUUUCUAUAUAUAUAUAUAUUUUCGGAUUAUUAUUUCAAUAUUAAAAUCGUAACAAUAUAUAUAAAGAUUCAUAAAAUAUUGUUUUAAUAUCAUAUUCAAAAAUAUUGUAAUAUUUCACAAAUUUAGAAAGUUUUAAAAAAUUAAACUUUUCGCUUCAUAGAUUUAUAUUAUCGAGUAAAUAAUUAAACUUUUAGUUUUUGUUUAAUUUUUUAAAUAAACUGUAUAGUUUAAAAUUUGUUUUCAUUGGUUUAAGGUAGUAAAUAUUAAUAAUUGUUAGAUAAUAUGAUUUUUGUUAUUUAACUCCAUGGUCUAACUCCGUUCCACAGGUUCCAUCAAAUACACCCUGAAGUGAAAAAAGGCAAAUAAAAAUCUUAGCAUCUUGAAAUAUAUUUGCAAGUGUUUACUACGAAUAUAGCGUAACCAUUCUUUAAAUAUGUGAGAACGUGAAUAAAUAAAUAAAUGUUCUGAAUGGUAAACCAUUAAUCAUUAACGUUCCAUUGAUUCUUCUCAUGCUAACUAGUUACAAGUUCGGCUAUUUC
rnacentral:lncRNA from 1 species